rnacentral:rRNA from 1 species
AAAACGACUCUCGGCAACGGAUAUCUCGGCUCUCGCAUCGAUGAAGAACGUAGCGAAAUGCGAUACUUGGUGUGAAUUGCAGAAUCCCGUGAACCAUCGAGUCUUUGAACGCAGGUUGCGCCCCAAGCCUUCUGGCCGAGGGCACGUCUGCCUGGGUGUCACAA